AGAACGAACGCUGGCGGCAGGCUUAACACAUGCAAGUCGAGCGCCUCGCAAGAGGAGCGGCAGACGGGUGAGUAACGCGUGGGAACAUACCCUUCGGUUCGGAAUAAUUCAGGGAAACUUGGACUAAUACCGGAUACGGACGAGAGUCGAAAGAUUUAUCGCCGAAGGAUUGGCCCGCGUUCGAUUAGCUAGUUGGUGUGGUAACGGCGCACCAAGGCGACGAUCGAUAGCUGGUCUGAGAGGAUGAUCAGCCACAUUGGGACUGAGACACGGCCCAAACUCCUACGGGAGGCAGCAGUGGGGAAUAUUGGACAAUGGGCGCAAGCCUGAUCCAGCCAUGCCGCGUGAGUGAUGACGGCCUUAGGGUUGUAAAGCUCUUUCGCUAGGGACGAUAAUGACGGUACCUAGACAAGAACGCCCCGGCUAACUUCGUGCCAGCAGCCGC
rnacentral:rRNA from 1 species